rnacentral:rRNA from 1 species
GAUGAACGCUGGCGGCGUGCCUAAUACAUGCAAGUCGAGCGAACGGACGAGAAGCUUGCUUCUCUGAUGUUAGCGGCGGACGGGUGAGUAACACGUGGAUAACCUACCUAUAAGACUGGGAUAACUUCGGGAAACCGGAGCUAAUACCGGAUAAUAUUCUGAACCGCAUGGUUCAAAAGUGAAAGACGGUCUUGCUGUCACUUAUAGAUGGAUCCGCGCUGCAUUAGCUAGUUGGUAAGGUAACGGCUUAUCAAGGCAACGAUGCAUAGCCGACCUGAGAGAGGGAUAGGCCACACGAGAACUGGGACACGGUCCAGACUCCUGCGGGAGGCAGCAGUAGGGAAUCUUACGCAAUGGGCGAGAGCCUGACGGAGCAACGCCGCGUGAGUGAUGAAGAUCUUCGGAGCGUGAAGCUCUGUUAUUGGGGAAGAACAGAUGUGUAAGUAAAUGUGCACAUCUUGACGGUACCUAAUCAGGAAGCCACGGCUAACUACGUG